GAAAGGCGCUUUUGCGUCACUGAUGGAUGGACCCGCGGUGCAUUAGCUAGUUGGUGAGGUAACGGCUCACCAAGGCCACGAUGCAUAGCCGACCUGAGAGGGUGAUCGGCCACACUGGGACUGAGACACGGCCCAGACUCCUACGGGAGGCAGCAGUAGGGAAUCUUCGGCAAUGGACGAAAGUCUGACCGAGCAACGCCGCGUGAGUGAAGAAGGUUUUCGGAUCGUAAAACUCUGUUGUUUGAGAAGAACAAGGAUGAGAGUAGAACGUUCAUCCCUUGACGGUAUCUAACCAGAAAGCCACGGCUAACUACGUGCCAGCAGCCGCGGUAAUACGUAGGUGGCAAGCGUUGUCCGGAUUUAUUGGGCGUAAAGCGAGCGCAGGCGGUUUCUUAAGUCUGAUGUGAAAGCCCCCGGCUCAACCGGGGAGGGUCAUUGGAAACUGGGAGACUUGAGUGCAGAAGAGGAGAGUGGAAUUCCAUGUGUAGCGGUGAAAUGCGUAGAUAUAUGGAGGAACACCAGUGGCGAAGGCGGCUCUCUGGUCUGUAACUGACGCUGAGGCUCGAAAGCGUGGGGAGCGAACAGGAUUAGAUACCCUGGUAGUCCACGCCGUAAACGAUGAGUGCUAAGUGUUGGAGGGUUUCCGCCCU
rnacentral:rRNA from 1 species